AUGCUGAAAGGAAAGAAGACCAAGGGGAAGAAGGUGGCUCUGGUCCCUGCUGCUGUGAAGAAGCAGGAGGCCAAGAAAGUGGUGAAUCUCUUGUUUGAGAAAAGGCCUAAGAAUGUUGGCAUUGGACAGACAUCCAGCCCAAAAGAGACCUCACCUGCUUUGUGAAAUGGCCCCGCUAUAUCAGGUUGCAGCAGCAGACAGCCAUCCUCGAUAAGUGACUGAAUAUGCCUCCUGUGAUUAACCAGUUUAUCCAGGCCCUGGACCAGCAAACAGCUACUCAGCUGCUUAAGCUGGCCCACAAGUACAGACCAGAGACAAAGCAAAAGAAUAAGCAGAGGCUAUUGGCCCAGGGCUGAGAAGAAAGCUGCCAGCAAAGGGGACAUCCCCAAUAAGAGACCACCUGUCCUUCAAGCAGGAGUUAAGACUGUCACCAACUUGGUGGAGAACAAGAAAGCUCAGCUGGUGGUGAUUGCACAUGACGUGGAUCCCGUUGAGCUGGUUGUCUUCCUGCCUGUCCUACAUUGUAAAAUGGGGGUCCCUUACUGCAUUAUCAAGGGGAAGGCAAGACUGGGACAUCUAGUCCACAGGAAGACCUGAACCACUGUCGCCUUCACAUAGGUUAACUCGGAAGGCAAAGGAGCUUUGCCUAAGCUGGUGGAAGCUAUCAGGACAAAUUGCAAUGACAGAUACAAUGAGAUCCACCGUCACUGGGGAAGCAAUGUCCUGGGUUCCCAGAUCUGUGGCUCACAUUCUCAAGCUCAAAAAGGCAAAGACUAAAGAACUUGCCACUAAAGUGGGUUAA
rnacentral:lncRNA from 1 species